rnacentral:rRNA from 1 species
ACGCUCGACACCUACGGGAGGGCAGCAGUCGGGAAUAUUGCGCAAUGGAGGAAACUCUGACGCAGUGACGCCGCGUAUAGGAAGAAGGUUUUCGGAUUGUAAACUAUUGUCGUUAGGGAAGAUACAAGACAGUACCUAAGGAGGAAGCACCGGCUAACUAUGUCGCGAGCACGCGAGUAUNGNGGCGGNGUGACGAG